GUCUGAAUCAUCAAGGCCAUUUUCAAUCCUCAUUGGCCUGGCCGUCACGUGGUUGGGACCAAUGCGUGGAUAAUUAUGGUGCUGAUAUUUUUCCCUAAAAAAAAGAUGUCAGCCCCUGGCUGUAGUAUUCCUCUUUAAAAUCCCUCUCUGAAAAUGUCAUGUCCCAACAAUGUGACUUCUAACUCGUUUUUGAUGGACUCGUUAGCCGGUACCUGCAGAGGGGAGAAUUAUUCCUCUAACCAAGGGAUGUAUAUGCAGUCUGGGAACGACUUCAACUGUGGAAUGAUGAGGAACUGUGGGAUCAUCCCGGCUCUUUCCAAGAGAGACGAGGUGAAUAACGCCAGCCUGUCUCUCAACACCUAUCCAUCUUACCUUUCUCAGCUAGACACCUGGUGUGACCCCAAAAAUACUUACCGAAUCGAGCAACCUGUUGCGAGGCAACUCCCCUCCUGCUCCUUCCCCACCAAUGUCAAGGAAGAAAAUGCUUGCUGUAUGUACAAUACUGACAAAAGAUCCAAAAGCGCCGCUGAGGCCACCCUCUACCCCAACCAGAUGCCUGAGUCCUGCCUAAAUGACCAUGAAGUCCCCGUGCCCAGCUACUACCGAGCCAGCCAAGGUUAUUCCUCCAUGGAGAAGGCGCCCAACUGCAGCAACCCCAGCGAGUUUGAGGCAAGUUUUGAACCCAGGUCGAGCCUCAACCCAAGGAGCGAGCUUCUGGAGCAGCCACCACCGCCUCCGCCACCUCCACCACCUCCACCUUCUCAGCAGCCACAACAACAACCACAGCCACAACAACCACAGCCGCCGACACCACUAUCGCAACCAGGAGCUAAAGCCAGCUUUCCUGACAACACCAAGCCCGAGAAUCCCCAGAACAGCCCCGCCAACGAAAUCAAAACAGAAAAAAGUCUCCCUGUUGCCAAAAUCAGCCCGACGGAAGCUGAGAAGGACCUGAGCAAAUGCACAGACACCAGCACUGACAAUUCUGACAACGAGGCGAAAGGAAAGGCACGCUCCUUUUUUACCUCCCCUGGAAGAAACCCUCUAUUAAAAAAAACAGGAAUACACUUUUUUUAAACAACAACAACAACAAGGAGAAGAGCCACAAGGCAGAAAAUGGGAUGUCUCGGUGGAAGACGUGCAAAGACACAGCAGAUUCGGGCCAACAGGGAAGCAAGCAAGAAGAUUUAAAGUCUCCACAGUUAAACAUUCACCAUGAUUCCUUUUAAAUGAGGCUUAGAGAUCCCUGCUAAAUAAAUCGGAUUGCUGGGGCUUCCCGGUUUGUGGUAUGCCGCUGCCAUUAGUUGAUGGACAGUUAUUGAAGGAACUCAGGAACAGGGUUGGUUUUUUAAAAAAUUUAAAUGCUUCCAAUAUGAACCACUCUCAAGAAUCCAUUGGUGUCUCUCCACCUUUUGAGAUGGAAACUGCUGAGUUUGGGCUCUGUGGAGACAGCCUCCUCCACAACAAGGCCAGUUGCAGAUCCAUUGGCAUUCAGAACAAGCAUAGAAGUGCUCUUCUCUCAUUUUGAUUGUCAAUUCGUAAGUAAAGAAGUGCGAUCUCCAUGGAAGUUCCCCUCCUUAGCCCAAGCCUGUUAAUUUAUUUGUAUAAAUUCUACGAUUGCCUUUUAUGUUCAUUUAAUGGCUAUUAAGAAGAGGAGAUUAUUUUUAUGUUCUUAUCAUUGCUUUUGAAUCAUUUGUUGGGGCUCCUCUGCAACAAAUUAAUUUCAUUACUAUCAUUUCUUCCCAGAUGUUUUUAUGCAUGUUGUAAUUCCAAAUAAAAGCUAAGCAAGUA